GUCGUAACAAGGUUUUGCUAAGCAACAGUCCUUCUGUAGCAGAGCUUAACGGAGACCUUGCACCCGAGAGGGGGGAGGCGACUAUAAACAAGCUUCCAGCGCAAGUCAGCUUAGCUGGCAACACAAUCGAAUUGCGGGGACGCUUUAAAGCCCACCGGUACCAACGGCCCCUCCAGGGGCCGGGCGAGCACAGCUCGAGGUCACAACCCGGUGGGAUGGAACAAUAAGCAAUCCGCAGCGGCGUGAGCCGUCCACAGACUAAGUGGUUGUGGGUAGGAGAACCCUAUCUAAGAUAUAGUCGGGCCCGAGGAGAGAUCCCCGGGGCUUCUGCGUCCGUAGGUGAACCUGCGGAAGGAUCAUUAAUAAGGAUACCGGGCAACCGGUAACCCCACCCGUGUCUAUCUACUCUUGUUGCUUUGGCAGGCCGUGGUCUCCACGGCGGGCUCUGCCCGCUAGUGCCUGCCAGAGGACCAAACUCUGAAUAUUAGUGAUGUCUGAGUACUAUAUAAUAGUUAAAACUUUCAACAACGGAUCUCUUGGUUCUGGCAUCGAUGAAGAACGUAGCGAAAUGCGAUAAGUAAUGUGAAUUGCAGAAUUCAGUGAAUCAUCGAAUCUUUGAACGCACAUUGCGCCCGGNGGNAUUCCGCCGGGCAUGCCUGUUCGAGCGNCGUNNUAANCACUCAAGCCUGGNUUGGUAUUGGGGUACGCGGUCCCGCGGCCCCUAAAAUCAGUGGCGGUGCCGGUUGGCUCUAAGCGUAGUAAUACUCCUCGCUAUAGNCCCUUUCCGGUUCCCUGCCAGAACCCCCUAUUUUUNCAGGUUGANNUCGGAUCAGGUAGGGAUACCCGCUGAACUUAAGCAUAUCAAUAAGCGGAGGAAAAGAAACCAACAGGGAUUACCUCAGUAACGGCGAGUGAAGCGGUAAUAGCUCAAAUUNGAAAGCUGCCAACAGGCCGCGUUGUAAUUUGUAGAAGAUGCUUUGGGGAUCGGCCUGGUCUAAGUUCCUUGGAACAGGACGUCAUGGAGGGUGAGAAUCCCGUACGUGACCGGUGCCGGCACCCGUGUAAAGCUCUUUCGACGAGUCGAGUUGUUUGGGAAUGCAGCUCAAAAUGGGUGGUAAAUUUCAUCUAAAGCUAAAUAUUGGCCAGAGACCGAUAGCGCACAAGUAGAGUGAUCGAAAGAUGAAAAGCACUUUGGAAAGAGAGUUAAACAGUACGUGAAAUUGUUGAAAGGGAAGCGCUUGCAACCAGACUUGCGGGCGGUCGAUCAUCCGAGGUUCUCCCCGGUGCACUCGAUCGUUCUCAGGCCAGCAUCGGUUUUGGUGGUGGGAUAAAGGCGUUGGGAAUGUGGCUCUUCGGAGUGUUAUAGCCCAGCGUGCAAUGCCGCCUACCGGGACCGAGGACCGCGCUUCGGCUAGGAUGCUGGCGUAAUGGUUGUAAGCGACC
rnacentral:rRNA from 1 species